AUCUGCAGUGAUGGAGGUGUGGCUCGGUGCCCACACCACCACAGCUGAGAGGACAGAGGAGAGCUCCACUAGAUCUGAUUACUCCAAAUAGUACCGUGGAUUAUUCAUCAAUGUUAUAAAAUGAGAAGAUUGUGUAAAUGUGGUUCGUUGGCAUGCCGACCGGAUGGCUCUCUUCUCGGAUUAUGUCAGCGCCUUGAGCAGAUGCUAUCGACGUCCAUAAAGGGAGAGACUCACUCGCUACUAUAAUGUGCGCGCUGUGGCCAUGGGCAACAACUUCCACUGCAGCCCCAUCACUCAAGCCCCAGCCCUGCCGUUCCUGUCAAAAGGGCCGGGUCAUGGGGGCAACAGUUUAAGCAGGGACUCCCAGACUUCCUUCUCUCCAGACACUUCCUCCAGCUCCUCAGGGGGGACCCCAAGGUGUUCCCAGGCCAGCUGAGAGACAAAGUCCCUCCAGCGUGUCCUGUGUCUUCCCCAGGGCCUCCUCUCGUUGGGACAUGCCCAGAAGGCGCCCGGGGAGG